GACGAACGCUGGCGGCGUGCUUAACACAUGCAAGUCGAACGGAAAGGCCCGGCUUUUGUGGCUUGCUCGAUUGGCGAACGGGUGAGUAACACGUGAGUAACCUGCCCUUGACUGUGGGGUAACUUUAGGAAACUGGGGCGAAUACCGGAUAGGAUCUCCUGCACCAUGGUGGGGGAUGGAAAGUUUCGGCGGUUGUGGAUAGACUCGCGGCUUAUCAGCUGGUUGGUGUGGUAGUGGCGUACCAAGGUUUCGAAGGAUAGCCGGCAUGAGAGGGUGACCGGCCACAAUAGGACUGAGAUACGGAGCAGACUCCUAUGGGAGGCAGUAGUGGGGAAUAUUGCACAAUAGGCGGAAGCCUGAGGCAGCAGCGCCGCGUGCGUGAUGACGGCCUUCGGGUUGUAAACCGCUGUCGCCUGUGACGAAGCGUGCGUGACGGUAGUGGGUAAGGAAGCACCGGCUAACUACGUG
rnacentral:rRNA from 1 species